ACGGAAGGCAGCAGUGGGGAAUAUUGGACAAUGGGGGAAACCCUGAUCCAGCGACGCCGCGUGAGUGAAGAAGUAUUUCGGUAUGUAAAGCUCUAUCAGCAGGGAAGAUAAUGACGGUACCUGACUAAGAAGCCCCGGCUAACUACGUGCCAGCAGCCGCGGUAAUACGUAGGGGGCAAGCGUUAUCCGGAUUUACUGGGUGUAAAGGGAGCGUAGACGGCAUGGCAAGUCUGAUGUGAAAACCCGGGGCUCAACCCCGGGACUGCAUUGGAAACUGUCAGGCUAGAGUGCAGGAGAGGUAAGUGGAAUUCCUAGUGUAGCGGUGAAACGCGUAGAUAUUAGGAGGAACACCAGUGGCGAAGGCGGCUUACUGGACUGUAACUGACGUUGAGGCUCGAAAGCGUGGGGAGCAAACAGGAUUAGAUACCCUGGUA
rnacentral:rRNA from 2 species